rnacentral:rRNA from 1 species
ACUCCUACGGGAGGCAGCAGUGGGGAAUAUUGGACAAUGGGCGCAAGCCUGAUCCAGCCAUGCCGCGUGAGUGAUGAAGGCCCUAGGGUUGUAAAGCUCUUUCACCGGUGAAGAUAAUGACGGUAACCGGAGAAGAAGCCCCGGCUAACUUCGUGCCAGCAGCCGCGGUAAUACGAAGGGGGCUAGCGUUGUUCGGAUUUACUGGGCGUAAAGCGCACGUAGGCGGACUAUUAAGUCAGGGGUGAAAUCCCGGGGCUCAACCCCGGAACUGCCUUUGAUACUGGUAGUCUUGAGUUCGAGAGAGGUGAGUGGAAUUCCGAGUGUAGAGGUGAAAUUCGUAGAUAUUCGGAGGAACACCAGUGGCGAAGGCGGCUCACUGGCUCGAUACUGACGCUGAGGUGCGAAAGCGUGGGGAGCAAAUAGGAUUAGAUACCCGAGUAGUCCCA